ensembl:lncRNA
ACCCACCCUCCCUCCCUCCCUCCCUCCCUCGUGCUUCGCGUUUCCCGCUCGGACAAGUGCAGCCCCGCACCGGGCCAACGCGUGCGCCGCUCCCUCCUUGCGCACCGCACCGCACCGCCUGCGCAGCGCGAUACGCCGUGCCGUGCUGUGCCGCGCCGCAGCGGCGGAGACAAAGUUUGUGGCGGAGGCUGCGGGGCAGGGCAGGCCGCUCGCUCGCUCGCUCGGUGCAUGCCUGAUGUGUGGAUGAAUUGCAGCAGGCGGCAGCUGCGGGCGGGGGCGGGGGUCUGAGGCCGGCGAUUGGGCGGCGCGGCUGCUCGGAAGCACUUUGUUUUCUAUUCUAAUGAGGGCGGAGCGGGGCUUGUGGAUAUUUACGUUGAGGCGGGAGCCGCCGCCCUUCAUUCACCCACAUGGUCCCCGAGACCAGCCGCCGCCGCUGGGACCCGCCGCCGCCUCCACGCCGCUUUCCCCCCCUCCCCAGCCCCCACGAGCACCGCCGGGAGCGGCGGCGCUCAGCUCCCCGCGCCUCGCCCCUUUGCCGCCGCCGCGCGGGGCGCCGGGGCCGGGCAGAGGGAAGAUGGUGGCGGCCGCCGGCGGGUGAGUGUCAGUGGCAGAGCCGUGGCGGUGAGGAGCGGGGGGCAGCGCGGCGGCGGCGCGGGGGGUGCGUGCGGGCGGGCCGCUGUGAGUGGCCGGGGCGGCGGGAGGGGGUGUGGGUGAGUGGGUGGGCGGCGGGGGAGAGCCGGAGCAGGGCGCAUGGCAGCCGCGGCGGCGGUGGCGGCGCCUCCCGAGCUCGCACACGGGGCGGGAGGGGCCGGAAUGAGGGAGAUUUGAAAAGCGUGCGCGCCUCGCGCCGCUGCGGCGAGCCCCGCCGCCCCCUUUCUCCCCUCCCUCCUUCCCCCACGGCCGCGGCCCGGGCCCGGAGCGGCCGAGCCCGCGGGCGGCGCGGCACAAUGGCAGCGGCCGCGGUGGGUGCGGGUGGGGGCCGUGCCCCGGCGGCCCGAGGCCCGGCCGGGAAAGUUUGUGGCGUGCCCGGCGCGGCGCGGGGGGGAGCUGGCGGCUCUAGAACAAAGCGGCACAUGGGGCAGAGGCCGCGGCGGCUCGGGGGCUCCGUUCGCCGCCCACGCCCAACUCGGGAACGGCAGCGGCGCGACCUAAAGCGAGUAACUCGGUGGUGUUUUUGCAGCAUCGACAUGGGAGGCAGAAAAUGCAGGAGCUUGUUGUGGAUGUUGCAGUGGAGUGUUGGUGGGGAAAGUUGCUUUUCACAGGAAAUGCGUAUGGCUGAGAAUACGAUGGCUAGAAGAAUACUUUCCUAUAUAGUAUCUGCUAUGAAUGAUUGGGAAAUGGAGAAAGAAUCACUUGCUUAA